rnacentral:rRNA from 1 species
UACGUAGGGUGCAAGCGUUGUCCGGAAUUAUUGGGCGUAAAGAGCUCGUAGGCGGUCUGUCGCGUCGGCUGUGAAAACUCGGGGCUCAACUCCGAGCUUGCAGUCGAUACGGGCAGGCUAGAGUUCGGCAGGGGAGACUGGAAUUCCUGGUGUAGCGGUGAAAUGCGCAGAUAUCAGGAGGAACACCGGUGGCGAAGGCGGGUCUCUGGGCCGAUACUGACGCUGAGACGCGAAAGCGUGGGUAGCAAACAGG